UACGUAGGGUGCAAGCGUUAAUCGGAAUUACUGGGCGUAAAGCGUGCGCAGGCGGUUUUGUAAGUCUGUCGUGAAAUCCCCGGGCUCAGCCUGGGAAUUGCGAUGGAGACUGCAAGGCUAGAAUCUGGCAGAGGGGGGUAGAAUUCCACGUGUAGCAGUGAAAUGCGUAGAGAUGUGGAGGAACACCGAUGGCGAAGGCAGCCCCCUGGGUCAAGAUUGACGCUCAUGCACGAAAGCGUGGGGAGCAAACAGG
rnacentral:rRNA from 1 species